AUUGAACGCUGGCGGCAGGCCUAACACAUGCAAGUCGAGCGGAUGAAGGGAGCUUGCUCCUGGAUUCAGCGGCGGACGGGUGAGUAAUGCCUAGGAAUCUGCCUGGUAGUGGGGGAUAACGUCCGGAAACGGGCGCUAAUACCGCAUACGUCCUGAGGGAGAAAGUGGGGGAUCUUCGGACCUCACGCUAUCAGAUGAGCCUAGGUCGGAUUAGCUAGUUGGUGGGGUAAAGGCCUACCAAGGCGACGAUCCGUAACUGGUCUGAGAGGAUGAUCAGUCACACUGGGACUGAGACACGGUCCAGACUCCUACGGGAGGCAGCAGGGGGGAAUAUUGGACAAUGGGCGAAAGCCUGAUCCAGCCAUGCCGCGUGUGUGAAGAAGGUCUUCGGAUUGUAAAGCACUUUAAGUUGGGAGGAAGGGCAGUAAGUUAAUACCUUGCUGUUUUGACGUUACCAACAGAAUAAGCACCGGCUAACUUCGU
rnacentral:rRNA from 1 species